CCCCCAGGUGAGCCUCCUGAGUGCCACGGUCUAUGGGCCACGGUGGCUUGAGGAUGACACGCCACGUCCACGCCCAGCCCCCUUCACAGAACUCUUUCUCAAUCAGGCUGUUUUGUUUGCUCGCUUUCCCUUUACUUCCUUGCCAAAAGCAACAAAUAAUUUCUCAAUCACACACACACACACACACACACACACACACACCCUCAGCCCUGAUACUGUAGUGCGCCCCACCCCCAUAUUAUCUUACUCCUGGCCAUGGCCGAUCCAACCCAAUUGGGAAAUAGUAACCGUACAGAACAUUUUAACUGAACAUUCUUAACUCCAAAUAGAUUUCACAAUGCUGGACACUGGGACAUGUCCUAAUAGCGUUCUGGGCAAACCAUGUUUUUAAACACAUGCCCAGGCAACUGAGCGUGUAUGUGUGCGUGUAAACACAUGAUAGACAGUAUUCCUGCCACUCACCCAGGCAUGGCAAAUGUUUGCUUUCCUAAGACAUGUUCUGUGGAGCAGCAAAAACUCAAUUCACAAGUGGAGUGCCCACCUCUCAGGGAGCGGCUAAGCGGAGGACCAGCACCUAUUUAGACAGGAUUCCCAAAAGGACCCUGGAGUGACCAGUCUUCCAGUAUCAGCAGCCAUCAACCAGGUGAAAGAAACUUCUGGAACCCAUCAGCAGCCUUUCUUUGGAACCAUUCUGCUGCCACGCAUUUCUCAGCCUUCAGAGACACAGAUGUCCCAUCUUGUCUGAUCCUUGGGGUAAGGACACUGCCCUGUACCUGACCCACUAACUCAGCGUCCCACACAGGUUACCAGAGGUGAGUGUGGCAUCCAUGUGAUCCACACGAAGUACAAGGACAAAAGUCCUGCCCCACUGCCAGAGAGACAAGGGCAAAGCACACUAAGUUCAGAAGAGAACAAGGAAGCACUUUAUAGCCCUAGGAGUUGAGUGAAGCCCAGCACUGGUUUGCUCCUAUCUUUCGUUACUGUUCAGAGCCCCAAGGGAAGGAUGUGGAAUGGAAAGGUGAACCCUUCCACCCAUAGAAAAAGGAAAUGGCAGAGAAGAAUCUGAGUGCCUUCAAGAGACUUGGCUACCAGCAGACUCUCUGUACAGCCUGCAGAAUGACCAAGGAGAAAUAGAAGUCCAGCUGGCUUCUGAGCAAAAGUGCAAUUUGUAUGAACCCAUGGUCUCUCACUCUGCAGACCACAACCCCUGCCCCGCCCCCUGCCACUACCACUAUACUAUGCAAGUGAUUUUGAUGAAAAUGGAAAUUCUGUCCACCUCCCUCUUCCUCACCACACACGCAUGUUUUCCCAGUCUGGUCUUGUCUUUUUGCAAGGUCUAACUGCUCAUGGCCAUCUGAGGUCACCAGCCUCCACUACAGCACAGGAAGGAAGGACAGGUGGGGACAUCUUUGUGCCUGUCUGCAUAAGUCCCUCGGUUUCACGCUCCCUUCUUUGAGAAGCAGUCCCGUUGCUGAACGCCAUUUUCAGAGUAACCCAGUUUCAGCAUGGCCCCAACACUUCUGUUCCAUGCUUGCUGGAGGAUCCAUCCCCACUCAUGCUUCAAGUCCCCGCCACGCCCUCCCCACCUCGUCCCGCCAAGCGGUAGUGCUGUCCCAGCACGGCCCACAAUUGGCCCACUGGGCAAACCAUCUUGAAUGGAACAGAUUUUCAAUUAUGUCCAAAAAGACAAAGAAAAAAUUAACCUUUGGCAGGUUUCUAGCUAUUUUCUCAAGAGAGCUGAAUCAUUAUGAGAAAUUAGAGCUAAGCAAAUCUGAACCUUUUAACAAGUAACUAGAGAGAAAGACUCAUUCCUUCUCACUGAUUCUCAACCACACAACCCUCGCCAGUCAAGUCAAGCUAGCAAGAUACAUCGAGCCGUCUCUGUGCUACUGGAAGUCUGACAAGUCAUAGAUUUUGUCUGCUCUGGGCUAUAAACUACAUAACAGCAGACGCCAUGUUGAUUUUCCCUCUUCUUCAAGGGGUCUAGUUUUAUUUUUUUAAAUUUUCUUGAUGUUUUUUAUUUCAUAUUUGAGAGAGAGAGACAGAGACAGCAAGC